GGUAGUCAUGGGAAUUACAGAGAAGUGUAGUUUUGAAGUGAUCCUUGUGGAGAAAAGGAAAGGAAACUAGAGAAACAAAUAUAAUUAUCUGGCAAUAUUGAGGUUUGGCUAGGGAUUGUAACCAUAAAUUUACAGUGGCGUCAUUUUCCAUAUAAUAUUCUUCUUUAUAAAGCUUUUCCAAGGAAUCAAAGAAUGUUGGCUAUAGCAGAUUCAUAAUGUUUAUUGCUAUUAUCGUAAAUUAUUUUUUAUUUUAAAAAGUUCUAGUCCUUUAGCCAGGUCUGUCGUCUUCAUAGAACACUGUUCUGUUACCCAUAAAAGAUGCCAUUAAGAUUGUGGCCUGGGCCAGGCGCGGCAGAUCACGAGGUCAGGAGAUCAACACCAUCCUGGCUAACACGGUGAAACCCCGUCUCUCCUAAAAAUACAAAAAAAAAAAAAUUAGCUGGGCAUGGUGGCAGGCACCUGUAGUCCCAGCUACUCGGGAGGCUGAGGCAGGAGAAUGGCAUGAACCCGGGAGACGGAGCUUGUAGUGAGCCAAGAUCGGGCCACUGCACUCCAGCCUCGGUGAUAGAGUGAAACUCCGUCUCAAAGAAAGAAAAAAAAAGAUUGUGGUCUGAGCAUACUCCACACUUUGAACAUGCCUACAGAUCAUACUUAGGUAUUGUAAAAUACCUAAUUUGACAAGCCUUAGUAAUUUUAUAACUUGGCCAUAUUUUUUAUAAAAUCAUACAGGAAGACUGUUUUAUAUCUUAAAAGAAUUUUGUGUUAAAUAAAUAGAUUUAGACAUAGUUUUACUUCUUCAAGUUGCCAGUUGGGUUAAUUUAAAAACAUACUUGCAUAGGAGACUUGAAAGCAUUUGUGUUUGUUUUCUUUUUUAGGGGCAAAAAGGCCCCGAGUCACUUCAGGUGGUGUGUCAGAGUCUCCCAGUGGAUUCUCUAAGCACAUUCAAUCCAAUUUGGACUUCUCUCCAGUAAACAGCGCUUCUAGUGAAGAAAAUGUGAAGUACUCCAGUUCUCAGCCAGAACCACGCACAGGUCUUUCCUUAUGGGAUACCAGUCCCUCAUACAUUGAUAAAUUGGUACAAGGGAUCAGCUUUUCCCAGCCCACAUGUCCUGAUCAUAUGCUUCUGAAUAGUCAGUUACUUGGCACCCCAGGAUCCUCACAGAACCCUUGGCAGCGGUUGGUCAAAAGAAUGACACGAUUCUUUACCAAAUUGGAUGCAGACAAAUCUUAUCAAUGCCUGAAAGAGACUUGUGAGAAGUUGGGCUAUCAAUGGAAGAAGAGUUGUAUGAAUCAGGUUACUGUAUCAACAACUGAUAGGAGAAACAAUAAACUCAUUUUCAAAGUGAAUUUGUUAGAAAUGGAUGAUAAAAUAUUGGUUGACUUCAGGCUUUCUAAGGGUGAUGGAUUGGAGUUCAAGAGACACUUCCUGAAGAUUAAAGGGAAGCUGAUUGAUAUUGUGAGCAGCCAGAAGGUUUGGCUUCCUGCCACAUGAUCGGACCAUUGGCUCUGGGGAAUCCUGGUGAAUAUAGUGCUGCUAUGUUGACAUUAUUCUUCCUAGAGAAGAUUAUCCUGUUCUGCAAACUGCAAACAGUAGUUCCUGAAGUGGUCACUUCCCUGUUUAUCCAAACAUCUUCCAAUUUAUUUUGUUUGUUCUGCAUACAAAUAAUAGCUAUAUCUUAAUUGUAAGCAAAACUUUGGGGAAAGGAUGAAUAGAAUUCAUUUGAUUAUUUCUUCAUGUGUGUUUAGUAUCUGAAUUUG
rnacentral:sRNA from 1 species